rnacentral:rRNA from 1 species
GACGAACCGUCCAAACGUUAUUCGGAAUUACUGGGCUUAAAGGGUGCGUAGGCGGCGCGGAAAGUUGGGUGUGAAAUCCCUCGGCUUAACCGAGGAACUGCGCCCAAAACUACCGUGCUCGAGGGAGAUAGAGGUGAGCGGAACUUAGGGUGGAGCGGUGAAAUGCGUUGAUAUCCUAAGGAACACCGGUGGCGAAAGCGGCUCACUGGAUCUCUUCUGACGCUGAGGCACGAAAGCGUGGGGAGCAAACAGG